GUCUAUGGCCAUGCCACCCUGAACAAGCCUGAUGUCUGAUCUUGGAAGCUAAGCAGGUUUGGGCCUGGUUAGUACUUGGAUGGGAGACCACCUAGGAAGACCAGGUGCUAUAGGCA
rnacentral:rRNA from 1 species